rnacentral:lncRNA from 1 species
AAUUAUUUUUUGCGUUCAUAGACCAUAUGAUAAGGGAACUGGAGAGUGGAGUCGCGUCAAGUUAUCAGAAAAUCGCUUCUUUGCGCUGUAUCUGCUUCAUCGUGUUGUAGGAAAUAUCACAAACGAACAAAUCUCAAUAUUGUCUGAGACAUACGAAACUGACCUCUGGCAUGUAAUUUUGACGAAUUCAAUUUGGAGUUCGCUCGAUGCCGAACAAGUACGCUGGUUUAUAACAUCUCGCGAGUGCUACCAUGCCAUGAUGGCCCUGAGAUCUAUCAGUCACGGUACUUUAUAUGUAAUUGAAAACAAAUGUACGAUCAACAAUGAACAACGACAUUUACAUAGCAUUACUGCAUAUUCAUCGGGAUUUCAGUGUGAAUGUUAAAAAUAGAGAAGUUUGUUUCUGCCCAGACCCGAGGAGCAGAUUUUGGACAAUUUUGAGUAAAUUCUGUAUCACAAAUAUGUGUUGUUUAUGUAUUACUAUAUUCAGAAGAUUUAUUAAUAGUUUUACAUUCAUAAAUUUUUAUCUACAUAUAGCUCCUCUUUUGACCGUCCUAUGACCGAAAACAGAAAAAAAAAAUCUGCAUAAUAGGGUCCC